rnacentral:misc_RNA from 1 species
AAGUCGUAACAAGGUUUCCGUAGGUAAGUUAUCACAAAAUAUCCUCAUUCUUCGUGGGAACACUCACUAACAUCUUCAAGGUGAACCUGCGGAAGGAUCAUUACAGUGUUAAGGCUUCGGCCUCAUUCACACCCCUUGUUGAACCUCUGGUUUCUUUGGCGAUGUCUUGGACUCGUCAGACUUUAACUCUGAUAAUGCGAUACUGUCCGAGUGAGAUUGAAUUAUUAAAACUUUCAACAACGGAUCUCUUGGUUCCA